GUGUGUGAGUGCUGGAUGAUGUGUGUGUGAGUGCUGGAUGAUGUGUGUGUGUGUGCUGGAUGAUGUGUGUGUGUGUGUGUGCUGGAUGAUGUGUGUGUGAGUGCUGGAUGAUGUGUGUGUGUGUGAGUGCUGGAUGAUGUGUGUGUGUGUGAGUGCUGGAUGAUGGGUGUGUGAGUGCGUGCUGGAUGAUGUGUGUGAGAGUG